rnacentral:rRNA from 1 species
GAAAUGCGAUAAGUAAUGUGAAUUGCAGAAUUCAGUGAAUCAUCGAAUCUUUGAACGCACCUUGCGCUCCUUGGUAUUCCGAGGGGCAUGCCUGUUUGAGUGUCAUGGUAUUCUCAACUCCUCUUGUUGCUUUUCAUGGCGCAAGGGUGAGCUUGGACUUGGAGGUUUACAUGCCGGCCGCCUUCCUGUGCAGCUGGCUCCUCUGAAAUGCAUUAGCUUGAACGUGUCGUGCUUGCGCACAACACACCAGGCAUGGUUUCAGCGUGAUAAAUAUCUGCGCUGUUCUCAUGGUUGUUUCAGGCUUCUAACGCUGCCAGUGUUUAUUCACUGUCUCUUCUGAAAAUCUGACCUCAAAUCAGGUAGGACUACCCGCUGAACUUAA